UGCGUAGGUGGUUGACUAAGUUUGGUGUGAAAUCUCCCGGCUUAACUGGGAGGGUGCGCCGAAAACUGGUUGGCUAGAGUGUGGGAGAGGGAAGCGGAAUUCCAGGUGUAGCGGUGAAAUGCGUAGAUAUCUGGAGGAACGCCUGCGGUGUAGACGGCUUCCUGGACCAUGACUGACACCGAGGCACGAAAGCGUGGGUAAGCAAACA
rnacentral:rRNA from 1 species